AAACUGAGGGAUAAGCAUCGGAAACGUGUCUAAUACCGCAUAUGGUCUCGGAUUAAAGCUUCGGCGGUUUGGGAAGAGCCCGCGCAAGAUUAGCUAGUUGGUGAGGUAAUGGCUCACCAAGGCAACGAUCUUUAACUGGUUUGAGAGGAUGAUCAGUCACACUGGAACUGAGACACGGUCCAGACUCCUACGGGAGGCAGCAGUAAGGAAUUUCCACAAUGGGCGAAAGCCUGAUGGAGCAACGCCGCGUGCAGGAUGAAGGCUUUAGGGUUGUAAACUGCUUUUAUAUGUGACGAAUAUGACGGUAGCAUAUGAAUAAGGAUCGGCUAACUCCGUG
rnacentral:rRNA from 1 species